rnacentral:rRNA from 1 species
AUGCACAGAUCGGCGGGGGUCGCGAUGGCGUGGAACGUCUUCCGGUUCUGCACGGCGCUCCGGGGCCUGGGCUCCAUCAUGAUCCUGCUCGUCCUCGCCAUCGUCGGCGUCACCUACUACGCCGUCGUCCUCUGCAACUACGGCCCCGCCCUCCUCCUCGGCGGCGGCGCCACCCUCGCCGCGCUCGUCGUGCUGCNGCUUGCUAUGCUGUUAUGGAGCUACUUCUCUGUUGUGUUCACCGACCCUGGUUCUGUUCCGCCAAAUUGGAACCUUGAUUUUGACGAGGAAAGGGGAGAAACUGCUCCCCUCUCUAGCUCAGACUUCAAUAGCCAGAUGAACCCACAGCAGUCGAUGGCUCUCGGUGAUACGGGAAAUCCGAGGAUGAGGUACUGUAGGAAGUGCAACCAACUGAAGCCCCCUCGGUGCCAUCAUUGCUCUGUUUGUGGAAGGUGUAUCCUUAAGAUGGAUCAUCACUGUGUAUGGGUUGUUAAUUGUGUUGGGGCGUUGAACUAUAAAUACUUUCUUCUCUUCCUGUUUUACACCUUCCUUGAGACGACGCUUGUUACCCUCUCUUUAUUGCCUCACUUCAUAGCCUUCUUCAGUGAUGUUGAGAUCCCAGGAAGUCCUUCAGCACUUGCAACCACAUUUCUCACAUUUGUGUUGAAUCUGGCCUUUUCCUUGAGCGUUCUGGGUUUUAUGAUAAUGCACAUUUCACUUGUUUCUGGUAAUACAACAACGAUUGAGGCAUAUGAGAAGAAAACUAGUCCACGUUGGAUGUAUGAUCUUGGCCGGAAGAAGAAUUUUGCUCAGGUCUUUGGAAACGACAAAAAGUAUUGGUUCAUUCCUGCAUACUCAGAAGAGGACCUGCGAAGGAUGCCCGCUCUGCAGGGCCUCGAUUAUCCUGUCAGGACAGACUUGGACGGGCAAGAGUUGUAA